GUGCCAGCCGCCGCGGUAAGACGAACCGUCCUAACGUUGUUCGGAAUCACUGGGCUUAAAGGGCGCGUAGGUGGUUGAUCAAGUCUGGGGUGAAAUCUUUCGGCUUAACCGGAAAAGUGCCUUGGAUACUGAUCAGCUGGAGGGAGGUAGGGGCAGUUGGAACUUCCAGUGGAGCGGUGAAAUGCGUUGAUAUUGGAAGGAACGCCGGUGGCGAAAGCGAACUGCUGGACCUCUUCUGACACUGAGGCGCGAAAGCCAGGGGAGCAAACGGGAUUAGAUACCCCUGUAGUCA
rnacentral:rRNA from 1 species